UAGUUCUUCGUACAAACCAAAUAGUAGGAGAUAAAUUCGUGUUUCUUGUGUUUUGGUUACGUUACAUGUUAACAAAUUGGAUUUGAUAAAAUCUUUUGCAUGUCUCGAUCCUCUUGUUCGUUAUCGCUAUGCCUUCACCUUGUCGUUGUUCCGAGAAGAUAUGAGCGUUUUCAUCGGAUCUAGUCGUUCGUUAUUUUGUUGAUAUGCUCCUUCAUGAGAGACGCCCACCACAUGUUCGACGAAAGUCCUGAACCAGUUUUCUUGGCUCACAGCUAUGUCAUAUGUUCCACCUGUUACGGGGGCUGAUUGGAGAACCUUACAGCUACCGUAAUUCAGCGGCAAAGGGGUAUGACGUUCUAUGGUCAAUCCGCUAUAUAGAAAAUGUUUUCUUGCUGCACUUAUCAGCCAGUGGACGUGAAAGCCAAGCUCAAUCUUUGGCACCUUACAAAAUGUGUCUGUCAUGACUGUAUGAAUUUCACUGGUUAAAAAGACAUAGAUUGGACGUAAAACCGCGGAAAGUUUGCUUUUGAGGGUCCUGUUCUUGAAGAAGAUGCCAACAUGCAAAUUUGGUGUUACAGAGCUAGUAUAAGUAUUGACACUAUCUUGAUAUGAUUUAUCAUAUCUAUUACAUAAAGAAGAAGAAGAAACAUAUGAUUUGUGGCUGCUGACGUGGAGCAAAACAAAUAAUGAAGCAAAGACUCCAAACAGAGAGGAGGCUUUGCAGUUGGAUCAAUAAAAGAGAGGUCUUCUCCAUUCGAUUCAGUUAUGCUUAAUCUGAGUUGUAAAACCUCUUGCGAUGUGCUUGAGACCCUUGCGAUGUGCUUGGGGAUGAUCAAUGUUGAUCAUCACUUCUUAGAUUGAGUAUUUGUUCAUCCGUUACGUUUCUCUUAGUUUUGUAAUCGUUGGGGAAGAGUUAAUUGAAUAUUGAUUCAGUAUUUGAGUUGGAUCCUACGAGAUUCUAUCAUAUCUCAUGUUUACUAGUUGAAGCUGCAGCAGGGAUGUGUUUUCUAGUUGAAGACUAGUUCCUUUACUACUCUCGAAAAUCAUUACAAGAAUACCAGUAGCUGAAGUCGUAGACCGAAAGGCCAGACUACGUGCCCAACUCGUUAAUAUCUUUCUGUUAAAAAUGCGACGUCAUCGCUCCAUUGGGCAACAUGGAAGGAAAGGUAUGUUACAGUUCUAAAACAUUUGAUUUGAUCAUACCAAAUUCUUAGUUACUACCUAUUUUUGUUAAACGUCCUACAGAAUACUCAAAUAGAAGUCUAUAUCUAUUGGAUAUUUUGUUCUUCCUGUUGCCUAACUUUGAUAUCGAAAUGGAUUUA